UUCUGCCUGCAUCUUCUGCCU
rnacentral:siRNA from 1 species